rnacentral:rRNA from 1 species
GAUGAACGCUAGCGGGAGGCCUAACACAUGCAAGCCGAGCGGUAUUGUUUCUUCGGAAAUGAGAGAGCGGCGUACGGGUGCGGAACACGUGUGCAACCUGCCUUUAUCUGGGGGAUAGCCUUUCGAAAGGAAGAUUAAUACUCCAUAACAUAUUGAUUGGCAUCAAUUAAUAUUGAAAGCUCCGGCGGAUAGAGAUGGGCACGCGCAAGAUUAGCUAGUUGGUGAGGUAACGGCUCACCAAGGCGAUGAUCUUUAGGGGGCCUGAGAGGGUGAUCCCCCACACUGGUACUGAGACACGGACCAGACUCCUACGGGAGGCAGCAGUGAGGAAUAUUGGUCAAUGGGUGCAAGCCUGAACCAGCCAUCCCGCGUGAAGGACGACUGCCCUAUGGGUUGUAAACUUCUUUUGUAUAGGGAUAAACCUACCCUCGUGAGGGUAGCUGAAGGUACUAUACGAAUAAGCACCGGCUAACUCCGUGCCAGCAGCCGCGGUAAUACGGAGGGUGCAAGCGUUAUCCGGAUUUAUUGGGUUUAAAGGGUCCGUAGGCGGACUUAUAAGUCAGUGGUGAAAGCCUGUCGCUUAACGAUAGAACUGCCAUUGAUACUGUAAGUCUUGAGUAUAUUUGAGGUAGCUGGAAUAAGUAGUGUAGCGGUGAAAUGCAUAGAUAUUACUUAGAACACCAAUUGCGAAGGCAGGUUACCAAGAUAUAACCGACGCUGAGGGACGAAAGCGUGGGGAGCGAACAGGAUUAGAUACCCUGGUAGUCCACGCCGUAAACGAUGCUAACUCGUUUUUGGGCUUUAGGGUUCAGAGACCAAGCGAAAGUGAUAAGUUAGCCACCUGGGGAGUACGCUCGCAAGAGUGAAACUCAAGGGAAUUGACGGGGGCCCGCACAAGCGGUGGAUUAUGUGGUUUAAUUCGAUGAUACGCGAGGAACCUUACCAAGACUUAAAUGGGAAUUGACAGCUUUAGAAAUAGAGCUUUCUUCGGACAAUUUUCAAGGUGCUGCAUGGUUGUCGUCAGCUCGUGCCGUGAGGUGUUAGGUUAAGUCCUGCAACGAGCGCAACCCCUGUCACUAGUUGCCAUCAUUCAGUUGGGGACUCUAGUGAGACUGCCUACGCAAGUAGAGAGGAAGGUGGGGAUGACGUCAAAUCAUCACGGCCCUUACGUCUUGGGCCACACACGUAAUACAAUGGCCGGUACAGAGGGCAGCUACACAGCGAUGUGAUGCAAAUCUCGAAAGCCGGUCUCAGUUCGGAUUGGAGUCUGCAACUCGACUCUAUGAAGCUGGAAUCGCUAGUAAUCGCGCAUCAGCCAUGGCGCGGUGAAUACGUUCCCGGGCCU